rnacentral:rRNA from 1 species
CACGUAGGUGGCAAGCGUUGUCCGGAUUUACUGGGUGUAAAGGGCGUGCAGCCGGAGAGACAAGUCAGAUGUGAAAUCCACGGGCUCAACUCGUGAACUGCAUUUGAAACUGUUUCCCUUGAGUGUCGGAGAGGUAAUCGGAAUUCCUUGUGUAGCGGUGAAAUGCGUAGAUAUAAGGAAGAACACCAGUGGCGAAGGCGGAUUACUGGACGAUAACUGACGGUGAGGCGCGAAAGCGUGGGGAGCAAACAGG